CCCCUAGACGUUCUGGGCUGCGCGCGCGCUACAAUAAUACGCACAGCGAGUAUCACCGAGCUCGAAAGGGCAAGGUAAACAAUAGAAAAGGUACUGUAAUGGUUAUAGAUCCUUGUAAUUAUUGAUCUUCAACGAGGAAUUCCUAGUAAGUAUGUGUCAUCAUCACGCACUGAUUACGUCCCUGCCCUUUGUACACACCGCCCGUCGCUCCUACCGAUUGGGUGAGCCGAUGAAACUCUCGGAUGUAGGCUAUUCAUAGCCCGCAGAAGAGAUUUGAAUCGUAGCGCUUAGAGGAAGGAGAAGUCGUAACA
rnacentral:rRNA from 1 species